UAGGGAAUCUUCGGCAAUGGACGAAAGUCUGACCGAGCAACGCCGCGUGAGUGAAGAAGGUCUUCGGAUCGUAAAACUCUGUUGUUAGAGAAGAACAAGGACGUUAGUAACUGAACGUCCCCUGACGGUAUCUAACAAGAAAGCCACGGCUAACUACGUGCCAGCAGCCGCGGUAAUACGUAGGUGGCAAGCGUUGUCCGGAUUUAUUGGGCGUAAAGCGCGCGCAGGCGGUUUCUUAAGUCUGAUGUGAAAGCCCCCGGCUCAACCGGGGAGGGUCAUUGGAAACUGGGAGACUUGAGUGCAGAAGAGGGGAGUGGAAUUCCAGGUGUAGCGGUGAAAUGCGUAGAUAUAUGGAGGAACACCAGUGGCGAAGGCGGCUCUCUGGACUGUAACUGACGCUGAGGCUCGAAAGCGUGGGUAGCAAACAGG
rnacentral:rRNA from 1 species